UNUUUUUGGUCCUCAAUGAUAAAGCCUGG
rnacentral:piRNA from 1 species